UGGUUAGCAUUUUGGUAGCACCUUUGCCAG
rnacentral:piRNA from 1 species